rnacentral:sRNA from 1 species
UAAGAAACUCAUUGAGCUGGUUGUGAA